rnacentral:rRNA from 1 species
GGAAGGGGGCGGCGGGGCUGCCGCAGCCGUAGCCGCCGUCGCUACGAGAGGGCCGGCCUUGGGAGCAGCUCUCCGGCUAGGCGGAACGCAGAGACCACCGGCCUCUGCUGCCGCCGCCGCCGUGCAGCCACUCGUUGGAGCCCGUGGUGCGGCCCAUGAUGGCGGAGGGGUGGUGAGUGCUGCGGUCCGAGAAGAUGAAGAAGAAGCUUAGGUCCGUCGUGUUCUUCCUCCUGGGGUACCACUAGACCGA